rnacentral:rRNA from 1 species
AUACGAAGGUCCCGAGCGUUAUUCGGAAUCACUGGGCGUAAAGAGUACGUAGGCGGUUUGGUAAGUCAGGUGUGAAAUCCCGAAGCUCAACUUCGGAACUGCAUCCGAUACUGCCAGACUUGAGUAAUGGAGAGGCAGGUGGAAUUCUCGGUGUAGCAGUGAAAUGCGUGGAUAUCUAGAGGAAGACCAAUGGCGGAGGCAGCCUGCUGGACAUUUACUGACGCUGAGGUACGAAGGCUAGGGGAGCGAAAGGGAUUAGAAACCCCAGUAGUCC